rnacentral:lncRNA from 1 species
UCAGAUUUGCGCUUGCUGUUGGGGUUUUGUGGAGGAACAAAUAUUUAUUUUUCGGAAUCAUGUAGCUCAUUGAAUUGGCCAUGAAUGUAGUGAGAAUUAAGGAGACGACCGAAAGGGCAUAUGGUUUGCUGGGUGUUAGUUAGACUAUGAUUAAGGGACUGGGUUGAGGCUAUGUGAUUCUAGCGUGCAGAUCAAUGUCAACCACAGUAAGGAGUAAUUGCUGCCCUCACUUCAAGAAGAAAUUGGUACCAUUACAGAACACCAAUACUAAGGAUUGGGAUUUUCUUUAUGAAGGAUUUGCAACUUAAGUAGUCCAGAGUGUGAGGGUUAUAAUCUGUCUUGUUUUGUUUUCCUUCUUCUGAUUCAAUAAUAAAGAAAAAAUGAUGGUUCGGCAGAGGCGACACAACAAAAGAUUGGGUUUCUGCUCUUCUGAGUUUUAUUUUUUUUUCAGGUUCUUGAUACUCAUGGGACCGUUUUGGUUAUAGGUGGGUUUGGGGUUCGUGUGAUAAGAAGGAUAUAGUGUGAAGGUGAAUAGAAUGUAUAUGGAUGACUGUAUGUAGCUUUAGAGAGUGAUAUUUCAGGGAGAAAGGUUGGAUAUACAUAGUGAACGCGUAGUCGGAGUCAGUUAGUGAUUAUCCAGCCAAAAUGUAUAAGGAAGAUGAUAUACCAUAAUGCUCUCAAAUAGAUC